AUGAGCUCACUGGUUCUACUGCUGGCCACCCUGGGGCUCCUGGUUCAGGGUUCAUCAGGACAAAUCACCCUGACUCAGUCUCCUGAAUCUCAGUCUGUUGUUCCAGGACAGACUGUCUCCAUCAGAUGUAAAACCAGUUCAAGCGUUAGUGGCUGGCUGAGCUGGUACCUUCAGAAGCCUGGAGAAGCUCCUAAACCCCUGAUUUAUAGAGCUACAAACCGUCAGUCUGGAGUUCCAGGUCGUUUCAGUGGAAGUGGAUCUGGGACUGACUUCACUCUGACCAUCAGUGGAGUUCAGGCUGAAGAUUCAGGAGUUUACUACUGUCAGCAGGGUUACAGCAACCCGUUCACACAGUGA